rnacentral:lncRNA from 1 species
UUUAAGGCAAUUUUUCGAUCGAAUCCCUUGGAAUUAUAAUGAGAUUUUGGGUGGUAAUUGAAGAGGACAUCGUGGGCUUUCCAACGGUAUCAAAAUUCGACAUUUUUUGUGGUCGGAAGUUGUCGAAAAUUUACCGUAAAAGUCGCCCAAUUAUUUGAAGAGACGAGUGAUGAAUGAGUAAUUAUAUGAAAAGAUGAGUGAGCAUUCAGUAAUAUGUGAAAGAUGAGUGAGCAAGUAGUAAUCAAGUGUAAAGUUCAGUGAUUAUUGGUUAAAUUUACUC